rnacentral:lncRNA from 1 species
CUGGAGCUCUGGUGCUCAGGGUGGUGGGAUGACAAGCGUGAGCCACCACGCCUGGCCACCACUGAGAUCUCCUGUGGUUAGAAACCGCGUGUCUGCAGAAGGCCCAGGACUGUGCUCUCACUGUCAGGGGCCCCAUGCUCCCCCGAGCUGGCUGCCUGAAGUGCAGACUGUGACCUGGACCAGCCCUGGCCUCUGGGAGGGAGGCUGCCGCCGACUUGGACUCCCCCACGGGGAGCGGAGCUGCCUGACUCCCGCCAGUCGGGCCGAGCCGCGCCAGGCCUCGGGAAGGCUCCCAGGGCCUGGCUGGCUGACAGGGUGUGCAGCCCCCCCAGGCAGCCCCCUCAGGGAGCUCCUGUCUGAAGAGUGUGAGUGACAAGGACACAGUGAGGCUGCCGGGCAGGUGCUCGUGAGACGUGGCACCACAGAGAGGCAGGGGCUCUGAAGACCGCGUGAGGUCCCCACUGUGCUAACACCCCGGUGCCGGUGUGCAUGACGGCGGGGCAUCGUGGGAAAGACCUCGGGUGUCCAGCCCUUUCCGGUUGCUCCUGGUGCCCGACUUUCUGCACUGCGGUGGGCGAGGCCCUCCUGCCACCAGGGGUGUCUGCGGGGUUGGACCGUUGCUACGUGGAGUGAAUUGGGAACAGCAGCCACACAGAAGUGACCCAGAGACCAGCGUCCGGGGUCCAGGUGAUUCUAGUGGUCUUUGUUCAUCCGGACGUUUGGGUUGUUCUGUGACACGUGUCAGUGACUGGGAACAUCCUUGAAAAAGCCAGAUGGCUGCUUUGAAGCAGCCCAACCUAGACUCAUGGCUGACCUACCCGUUGCUUCUGCAAAAUGAAGACGACCUGGAAGCUCCUGACCCGCUGCUGACCACAGGGACAAGGAGCAGGGGGGAGACUGAGGCGGUGUGCUGGGUCCUGGCUCCCUGGGGCGUCUUCCAGGUGGGAAGAUGCCCCCCAGGAGUGAUGAGCCGAGGGGGCCCGUGCAGGGAGGGCUGGCGAGGGGCUCUGGAGAGGCGGAGUGUAAGCCCAUAAGACCUCAAUGGUGGCCAGGUGCGAUAGCUCACACCUGUCAUCCCAGCG